CUUUCAAGGGACAGCAGUACUCCACUAGCCUUAGGAGCUAC
rnacentral:tRNA from 1 species